CACAUCCUUGUUCCCAGAGAAUCCUUCAAUGGCACAAACCCUUGAAAACACGACUGACAUGUAAAAGAAUGGCGGAGUUUCCCGAAGGACCGUGUUUGUACCGUGGAGAGCCAAACGAUACCCGGUUUACCGAUUUCUCGGGCACGCGCGAGUACUCCAGUAAGUUGCUCUCUUUGUUGUUAUUUAGUUGUAUGUAGAGGGCGGGACUCGAACUGAAAUGAACAAGGCGCGGCCAAGAACCCCCUUCCUUCACACGUGUAGACAAAGGGACCCAUCAACACAACCCAAACAUGCAGGGAAAAGUUUUCCCGUGCGCGCGACUUCACGCCAGGACCUCGCGAAGCGCCCAGGCCAGCGCGGGACUGCGAGUACUGGAUAACUUCUGUUUCAACGCACGCCCUUUGAAGGAUUUAUUUAAUCAUUAUUUUUCGCUGUGGAAUAUUAUUACUUUUCUUCGGGAUUAUUGGACUAUUCAUAAUGAGAAUGAUUACUUUCAACGUACAACAUGGACAAACAAAAGCAAGUGUGGAGCUGGACAGCGCACUGCUUCCGCGGGAAACACGCAGAGCCGCACUGCAGCCCUCUUCUUUAUCAAAUGA
ensembl:lncRNA